UUCCUGGUAGUCCAGUGGCUAAGACUCUGUCUCAAUGCAGAGGACCUGGGUUCAAAUCCUGGUCAGGGAA
rnacentral:tRNA from 1 species